rnacentral:rRNA from 1 species
UUGGGCGUAAGCGCGCGCAGGUGGUUCUUUAAGUCUGAUGUGAAAGCCCACGGCUCAACCGUGGAGGGUCAUUGGAAACUGGGGAACUUGAGCGCAGAAGAGGAAAGUGGAAUUCCACGUGUAGCGGUGAAAUGCGUAGAGAUGUGGAGGAACACCAGUGGCGAAGGCGACUUUCUGGUCUGUAACUGACACUGAGGCGCGAAAGCGUGGGGAGCGAACAGGAUUAGAUACCCUGGUAGUCCACGCCGUAAACGAUGAGUGCUAAGUGUUAGAGGGUUUCCGCCCUUUAGUGCUGCAGCUAACGCAUUAAGCACUCCGCCUGGGGAGUACGGCCGCAAGGCUGAAACUCAAAGGAAUUGACGGGGGCCCGCACAAGCGGUGGAGCAUGUGGUUUAAUUCGAAGCAACGCGAAGAACCUUACCAGGUCUUGACAUCCUCUGACAACCCUAGAGAUAGGGCUUUCCCCUUCGGGGGACAGAGUGACAGGUGGUGCAUGGUUGUCGUCAGCUCGUGUCGUGAGAUGUUGGGUUAAGUCCCGCAACGAGCGCAACCCUUGAUCUUAGUUGCCAGCAUUCAGUUGGGCACUCUAAGGUGACUGCCGGUGACAAACCGGAGGAAGGUGGGGAUGACGUCAAAUCAUCAUGCCCCUUAUGACCUGGGCUACACACGUGCUACAAUGGAUGGUACAAAGAGUCCGCAAACCCGCGAGGGCAAGCUAAUCUCAUAAAGCCAUUCUCAGUUCGGAUUGCAGGCUGCAACUCGCCUGCAUGAAGCCGGAAUCGCUAGUAAUCGCGGAUCAACAUGCCGCGGUG